GACGAACGCUGGCGGCGUGCCUAAUACAUGCAAGUAGAACGCUGAAGAGAGGAGCUUGCUCUUCUUGGAUGAGUUGCGAACGGGUGAGUAACGCGUAGGUAACCUGCCUGGUAGCGGGGGAUAACUAUUGGAAACGAUAGCUAAUACCGCAUAAAAUGGAUUAUCGCAUGAUAAUCCAUUGAAAGGUGAAAAUGCAUCACUACCAGAUGGACCUGCGUUGUAUUAGCUAGUUGGUGGGGUAACGGCUCACCAAGGCGACGAUACAUAGCCGACCUGAGAGGGUGAUCGGCCACACUGGGACUGAGACACGGCCCAGACUCCUACGGGAGGCAGCAGUAGGGAAUCUUCGGCAAUGGACGGAAGUCUGACCGAGCAACGCCGCGUGAGUGAAGAAGGUUUUCGGAUCGUAAAGCUCUGUUGUAAGAGAAGAACGAGUGUGAGAGUGGAAAGUUCACACUGUGACGGUAUCUUACCAGAAAGGGACGGCUAACUACGUG
rnacentral:rRNA from 1 species